GUGCUAAGUUACUUGAUAGAUAAUUUGAAGAGGUUUUUACAUAUGCUCUGUGGAUAAACUAAGUUGUUGCAUAGAGACUUAAGUUGUGUUGAUUUAAGACAUUGACUUUCCCUUUCAUACCAUAGUGCUAUAUUGUUUAUAAAGUGAGAACUUGCUUGAUUUUUAGUUGAAGUAUUUAAGCCUUAUUUAUAAACCAUUUUUACACACUUUAAAGAGCUAAACUUUCAAUUUUUCAUAAAGUUACAAACAAUAGCUGAAAAAUUGAUAACAGU
rnacentral:misc_RNA from 1 species